CUGCCCGCAACGCUGAGUUUCCGGAAUCACGCCUGCCGCCGGCGUCCGGAAAGCGGGGGACCCAAGUAUUGGGGCGAAUCGGCCCAGGCCGUAGCGCACUCCAGCGCGAGUCCGACAGCUAACCCCGUAAGCGCUCUCGGAGGACUU
rnacentral:sRNA from 1 species